AUCUAUGCAUGCUACCUGAACAAGCUGAUCCCGUCUGAAUUCAGAAGCUAAGUAGGGUCGGGCCUGGUUAGUACUUGGAUGAGAGACCGUCUAGGAAGAUCAGGUGCUGUAGGUG
rnacentral:rRNA from 1 species